AACGCGAAGAACCUUACCUGGGCUCGAAAUGCAGUGGAAGUCGGAUGAAAGUCCGGUGCCCGCAAGGGCCGCUGUAUAGGUGCUGCAUGGCUGUCGUCAGCUCGUGUCGUGAGAUGUUGGGUUAAGUCCCGCAACGAGCGCAACCCUUAUCCUUAGUUGCCAUGCCGAAAGGCGGCACUCUGGACAGACUGCCUCGCUUCAACGAGGAGGAAGGUGGGGAUGACGUCAAGUCAGUAUGGCCCUUACGGCCAGGGCUGCACACGUACUACAAUGCCCGGCACAAAGGGAAGCAAGAGCGUAAGCUGGAGCAAAUCCCCCAAAACGGGCCCAGUUCAGAUUGUCGUCUGCAACUCGACGACAUGAAGCUGGAAUCGCUAGUAAUGGCGCAUCAGCUACGGCGCCGUGAAUACGUUCCCGGGCCUUGUACACACCGCUAGUC
rnacentral:rRNA from 1 species